AACGAACGCUGGCGGCAGGCUUAACACAUGCAAGUCGAACGCCCCGCAAGGGGAGUGGCAGACGGGUGAGUAACGCGUGGGAAUCUACCCUGAACUGCGGGAUAGCUCCGGGAAACUGGAAUUAAUACCGCAUGUGCCCUGAGGGGCAAAGAUUUAUCGGUUCAGGAUGAGCCCGCGUCCGAUUAGCUAGUUGGUGGGGUAAAGGCCUACCAAGGCGACGAUCGGUAGCUGGUCUAAGAGGAUGAUCAGCCACAUUGGGACUGAGACACGGCCCAAACUCCUACGGGAGGCAGCAGUGGGGAAUAUUGGACAAUGGGCGCAAGCCUGAUCCAGCCAUGCCGCGUGAGUGGUGAAGGCCCUAGGGUUGUAAAGCUCUUUCACCGGGGACGAUAAUGACGGUACCCGGAGAAGAAGCCCCGGCUAACUUCGUGCCAGCCGCCGCAGUAA
rnacentral:rRNA from 1 species